CUUUAUGUAAAGUGACCAUUUAUUAAAAAUAUAUGAAAUGUGACCAAAUUGUCAAAGGAGAGGAGCUAACUUUCUUGGAAAUCAGAGAAAAAUACUGUAAAAACUUGAAAAGGAAAUCUGUUAUUAAUGCUAAAACAUUCUUUCCUUCCUGAUUGGAUGUUCGUGUCUCCGUGAAUGUGUCUGGAUUGUGAAAUCAUCACGGUGAUUCACAGGUGUUUCCAAGGGAAAGCAUGUGGCAUUUCACCUGAGUUAUGUAUUGUUUCAAACAUCCAGUGGAGGGUUUCUGGUAUCUCUCUUGAACUCUGGUGAGCUCAUGUCUGAAGCAGUUUGGUGAAGUGUGAGCCAGAUGUAGCCAGAUGGGUUGGGAGCUACAGAGGGGGCAGGCAAAAGUGAUGUGAAGAAUGCUCAAAGGGCCAGCCCGUCUGAUUUAUAAAGAGAAGCAUUGAGGGUGUAAAGGCAUGUAUACAAAUACCUGCAGUUAUCCAACACAUGGGGACCCUGAGGAGGAAGCAGGAUCUUGGCACUUUAUAACACUUGGAAUUAACAAUUUGGACAACAACUAAAAAGAAAAACAUGAAUCCAAUAUUUCUGAUGCCAGUAAAAUCUCCUUGGCUCUGGAAUAGUCAUUUUCCGUGAAGUGCAGCCCUCUCACAUGCACAAACUUGCUGAAAACAAAACGAUGAAGCACCAGGAAGCUGACAGCCAGUCAUUU
rnacentral:lncRNA from 1 species